UACAGAGGUCUCAAGCGUUGUUCGGAUUUAUUGGGCGUAAAGGGUGCGUAGGCGGCGCGGUAAGUCGGGUGUGAAAUUUCGAGGCUUAACUUCGAAACUGCAUUCGAUACUGCCGUGCUUGAGGACUGGAGAGGAGACUGGAAUUUACGGUGUAGCGGUGAAAUGCGUAGAUAUCGUAAGGAAGACCAGUGGCGAAGGCGGGUCUCUGGACAGUGCCUGACGCUGAGGCACGAAGGCCAGGGGAGCAAACGGG
rnacentral:rRNA from 1 species